GAUGAACGCUGGCGGCGUGCUUAACACAUGCAAGUCGAACGAGAAGUGAAGACGGAAACCUUCGGGCGGAAGGCUUUAUUUCGAGUGGCGGACGGGUGAGUAACGCGUGGGUAACCUGCCUCAUACAGGGGGAUAACAGUUGGAAACGACUGUUAAUACCGUAUAAGACCACAGCACCGCAUGGUGCGGGGGUAAAAACUCCGGUGGUAUGAGAUGGACCCGCGUUCGAUUAGCCAGUUGGCGGGGUAACGGCCCACCAAAGCGACGAUCGAUAGCCGAUCUGAGAGGAUGACCGGCCACAUUGGGACUGAGACACGGCCCAAACUCCUACGGGAGGCAGCAGUGGGGAAUAUUGCACAAUGGGGGAAACCCUGAUGCAGCGACGCCGCGUGAGUGAAGAAGUAUUUCGGUAUGUAAAGCUCUAUCAGCAGGGAAGAAAAUGACGGUACCUGAGUAAGAAGCCCCGGCUAACUACGUG
rnacentral:rRNA from 1 species